GCGGGGCUGCCCGGUGCGUCAGGCAAUUCAAACCCCUGGGCCGAUAAGCACUUCCUCGGGAGCUGGCGCUGCUGUGAUCGUGGUCAUGGUAUCCGGCGCCCACCUGCACUAGCAGGUCCUGGAGGUUGUAUAUACCAACGGCCAGGGUGGCUCCGCA
rnacentral:other from 1 species